rnacentral:rRNA from 1 species
CCUACGGGGGGCUGCAGUAAGGAAUAUUGGUCAAUGGGCGCAAGCCUGAACCAGCCAUGCCGCGUGAAGGAUGACGGCCCUAUGGGUUGUAAACUUCUUUUGUACGGGAAAAAACCUCUGGUCGUGAAUCAGAGCUGAUGGUACCGUAAGAAUAAGCAUCGGCUAACUCCGUGCCAGCAGCCGCGGUAAUACGGAGGAUGCAGGCGUUAUCCGGAUAAAUUGGGUGCAGGGGGUGCAAUAGGUCAACGGUGAAAGCCUACAGCUUAACUGUAGAACUGCCAUUGAUACUGUUAUUCUUGAGUGUUGUUGAGGUAGGCGGAAUGUGUCAUGUAGCGGUGAAAUGCUUAGAUAUGACACAGAACACCGAUCGCGAAGGCAGUUUACCAAGCAACAACUGACGCUCAUGCACGAAAGCGUGGGGAUCAAACAGGAUUAGAUACCCUAGUAGUC